rnacentral:rRNA from 1 species
AUUGAACGCUGACGGCGUGCUUAACACAUGCAAGUCGAAGGGAGUGGCGAACGGGUGAGUAACACGUGAGUAACCUGCCCUUUUCUUUGGGAUAAGCCUGGGAAACUGGGUCUAAUACUGGAUGGAUUGGGCUGGGCUCGCGGCUUAUCAUCUUGGUGGUGGGGUGAUGGCUUACCAAGGCUUUGACGGGUAGCCGGCCUGAGAGGGUGGUCGGUCACACUGGGACUGAGAUACGGCCCAGACUCCUACGGGAGGCAGCAGGGGGGUAUAUUGCACAAUGGACGAAAGUCUGAUGCAGCAACGCCGCGUGAGUGAUGAAGGUCUUCGGAUCGUAAAACUCUGUUAUUAGGGAAGCGGUACCUAAUCAGAAAGCCACGGCUAACUACGUGCCAGCAGCCGCGGUAAUAC